rnacentral:rRNA from 1 species
UACGUAGGGGGCAAGCGUUGUCCGGAAUUACUGGGCGUAAAGCGCGUGUAGGCGGGACGGCAAGUCGGACGUGAAAGGCUCGGGCUCAACCCGAGAUGGCCGUUCGAAACUGCCGUUCUUGAGGGUCGAAGAGGAGAGUGGAAUUCCUGGUGUAGCGGUGAAAUGCGUAGAGAUCAGGAGGAACACCGGUGGCGAAGGCGGAUCUCUGGGCCUUACCUGACGCUGAGGCGCGAAAGCUAGGGGAGCAAACAGG